AGAGAUUGACUGUACCAUUCAAGAAAGCCACGGCUAACUACGUGCCAGCAGCCGCGGUAAUACGUAGGUGGCGAGCGUUAUCCGGAAUGAUUGGGCGUAAAGGGUGCGCAGGCGGUCCUGCAAGUCUGGAGUGAAACGCAUGAGCUCAACUCAUGCAUGGCUUUGGAAACUGGAGGACUGGAGAGCAGGAGAGGGCGGUGGAACUCCAUGUGUAGCGGUAAAAUGCGUAGAUAUAUGGAAGAACACCAGUGGCGAAGGCGGCCGCCUGGCCUGUUGCUGACGCUGAGGCACGAAAGCGUGGGGAGCAAAUAGG
rnacentral:rRNA from 1 species